rnacentral:rRNA from 1 species
GAUGAACGCUGACAGAAUGCUUAACACAUGCAAGUCAAAUUGUGGCGGAGGGGCGAGUAACGCGUAAAGAACUGGCCUCACAGAUCGGGACAACAUUUGGAAACGAAUGCUAAUACCUGAUACUGUGAGAGAGCUGUGCGUCCUAUUAGCUAGUUGGAGGGGUAACGGCUCACCAAGGCGAUGAGGGUUAGCCGGCCUGAGAGGGUGAUCGGCCACAAGGGGACUGAGACACGGCCCUUACUCCUACGGGAGGCAGCAUGGGGGAAUAUUGGACAAUGGACCAAAGUCUGGUCGAGCAAUUCUGUGGGCGCGAUAGAGUUUUCGGAAUGUAAAGUGCUUUCAGUUGGGAAGCGGUACCAGCAGAAGAAGUGACGGCUAAAUACGUGCCAGCAGCCGCGGUAAUAC